AAACGAGGAGCAGAUGCCAGACAGGGAGCUUGUGACACAGGGCCGAGGAAGGCCGAGGCGAGGGAAAGCCCAGUGCAUUUAGUUAAUCAAAGGAGUUCCAGUACAAGAGAAUUCUAGUCCUGCAUUUCAGAGACAAAGUCUCCUGACUCCCAGUUCAGUGCUAUUUUUAGAAUACUCCCUGUCUCUAGCUCUAUGACAUGUAUGUGAUGAUUCAGCACAUAGAUCAAUAUUCUUGCAUAGAAAAAAGGAAGCAUAUAUGGCUCGUGCUUACCCAGGUAGAGACAUUAACAUUUUCCAAACCCUCUUGUUUAACAUGUCUUUUUAGAGGAAUUUUACUUUGUAUUAUAGUUUUUCAUUUCCUCCCACCUGGGUCAUGCCAUACAGCUCUUAAGUCAGGAAGGGAUUUUAAGGGAUCACUUUGUCAGCAGCCAAGGGAGCAUGGGGUGGGGGCAGGAACAUCAGUAAUAAAAUACUCGUCCUUGCCAAGGCGAACUGCUCCUCUGACCCCAACUCCCGUGUGUGCCACUGCGCACGAAGAAAGCUCGCACCCAAAUAGGCUACACAAACGUCUGAAGCCCCACGUUAGCCAUCUCCCCAGUUCAUAUUACCACCUAUUCCAUUCUAUUCCCUUCUGUAAACAUAGCUUAAGUAGUCAAAAUCACAUAUACAAAAAAA